rnacentral:rRNA from 1 species
AACAAACGCUGGCGGCGUGCCUAAUACAUGCAAGUCGAACGGGGAAAGCUUUCGGGUGAGUACUAGUGGCGCACGGGUGAGGAACGCGUGGAUAAUCUGCCUUAGAGUGGGGGAUAACUAGUCGAAAGAUUAGCUAAUACCGCAUAAGACCACGAGAGCUGCGGCUUUUGAGGUCAAAGGUUUUUCGCUCUAAGAUGAGUCCGCGUAAGAUUAGCUAGUUGGUGAGGUAACGGCUCACCAAGGCGACGAUCUUUAACUGGUCUGAGAGGAUGAUCAGUCACACUGGAACUGAGACACGGUCCAGACUCCUACGGGAGGCAGCAGUAGGGAAUAUUGCACAAUGGAGGAAACUCUGAUGCAGCGACGCCGCGUGAGUGAUGAAGGCCUUCGGGUCGUAAAGCUCUGUCGCAGGGGAAUAACACAAUGAAGGUACCCUGUAAGAAAGGAUCGGCUAACUUCGU